rnacentral:rRNA from 1 species
AACGAACGCUGGCGGCAGGCUUAACACAUGCAAGUUGAACGCGUGUAGCAAUACACGAGUAGCGCACGGGUGCGUAACGCGUGGGAACCUUCCUCGUAGUUCGGAAUAACUCAGGGAAACUUGAGCUAAUACUGAAUGCCUCCUCCGGGAGAAAGAUUUAUCGCUACGAGAUGGGCCCGCGUCAGAUUAGGUAGUUGGUAGGGUAACGGCCUACCAAGCCGACGAUCUGUAGCUGGUCUGAGAGGAUGAUCAGCCACACUGGGACUGAGACACGGCCCAGACUCCUACGGGAGGCAGCAGUGGGGAAUAUUGGACAAUGGGGGCAACCCUGAUCCAGCCAUGCCGCGUGAGUGAAGAAGGCCUUCGGGUUGUAAAGCUCUUUCGACGGGGACGAUGAUGACGGUACCCGUAUAGGAAGCCCCGGCUAACUUCGUGCCAGCAGCCGCAGUAA